CGGCCGCGUCGACGAAGGCUCUUGGGUUGUAAACCCCUUUUCUCUGGGAAGAAAAGUUGUGAAAGCAACCUGACGGUACCAGAGGAAUCAGCAUCGGCUAACUCCGUGCCAGCAGCCGCGGUAAGACGGAGGAUGCAAGCGUUAUCCGGAAUGAUUGGGCGUAAAGCGUCCGCAGGUGGCAGUUCAAGUCUGCUGUCAAAGACCGGGGCUUAACUUCGGAAAGGCAGUGGAAACCUGAACAGCUAGAGUAUGGUAGGGGCAGAGGGAAUUCCUGGUGUAGCGGUGAAAUGCGUAGAGAUCAGGAAGAACAUCGGGUCGACGCGGCCGGUCGUGGGAGG
rnacentral:rRNA from 1 species